rnacentral:rRNA from 1 species
UACGGAGGGUGCAAACGUUGCUCGGAAUCAUUGGGCGUAAAGCGCGCGUAGGCGGCCUGUUAAGUCGGGUGUGAAAUCCCUCGGCUCAACCGAGGAAGUGCAUUCGAAACUGGCGGGCUUGAGUAUGGAAGAGGGUCGUGGAAUUCCCGGUGUAGAGGUGAAAUUCGUAGAUAUCGGGAGGAACACCAGUGGCGAAGGCGGCGACCUGGGCCAAUACUGACGCUGAGGUGCGAAAGCGUGGGGAGCAAACAGC